GAUGAACGCUGGCGGCGUGCCUAAUACAUGCAAGUCGAGCGAACAGACGAGGAGCUUGCUCCUCUGACGUUAGCGGCGGACGGGUGAGUAACACGUGGAUAACCUACCUAUAAGACUGGGAUAACUUCGGGAAACCGGAGCUAAUACCGGAUAAUAUAUUGAACCGCAUGGUUCAAUAGUGAAAGACGGUUUUGCGGUCACUUAUAGAUGGAUCCGCGCCGCAUUAGCUAGUUGGUAAGGUAACGGCUUACCAAGGCAACGAUGCGUAGCCGACCUGAGAGGGUGAUCGGCCACCCUGGAACUGAGACACGGUCCAGACUCCUACGGGAGGCAGCAGUAGGGAAUCUUCCGCAAUGGGCGAAAGCCUGACGGAGCAACGCCGCGUGAGUGAUGAAGGUCUUCGGAUCGUAAAACUCUGUUAUUAGGGAAGAACAAAUGUGUAAGUAACUAUGCACGUCUUGACGGUACCUAAUCAGAAAGCCACGGCUAACUACGUG
rnacentral:rRNA from 1 species